GACAGGUUCAGCACACGAAGCGAUGGAGCUUUGGGUAAGGAAUCAGGAAUAACUCCGCUAAGAUUAUUUCCUGCAAGAUUAACAUACCUAAGAGAAGGUGAUGCUACACCCAGUGACGGAGGGAUGCUACCUGAAAGGAUGUUGCCGGCAAGCAUCAGAGUCUGGAGGCCUGGAAGCGUGGCCACCUCCUCAGGUAUGGUUCCGGAAAUAUGGUUGCCUGAAAGAUCCAACCUCACCAGCGAAGUGAGGUUCGCCAUGCAAUUGUGUAGCAGUGUUCCGUGGAGCCGCACAGACCUUAGUUCUAGGGACAGCACUCGGAGUGGGAGGCUGGAGCUGCAGCUGACCCCUCGCCAGCCGCAGAAGCUGAGCGAGUCGGCGCUCCAU
rnacentral:misc_RNA from 1 species